UUUAUUAUAGUUGAAAACAACGGUGGUUUUUCAAACCACAGGUCUCGGUUUGAAUCCGAGUAAUAACU
rnacentral:tRNA from 1 species